GACGAACGCUGGCGGCGUGCUUAACACAUGCAAGUCGAACGGAAAGGCCCUGCUUUUGUGGGGUGCUCGAGUGGCGAACGGGUGAGUAACACGUGAGUAACCUGCCCUUUACUUUGGGAUAACUUCAGGAAACUGGGGCUAAUACCGGAUAGGAGCUCCUGCUGCAUGGUGGGGGUUGGAAAGUUUCGGCGUUUGGGGAUGGACUCGCUGCUUAUCAUCUUGUUUGUUGGGUAGUGGCUUACCAAGGCUUUGACGGGUAGCCGGCCUGAGAGGGUGACCGGCAAAAUUGGGACUGAGAUACGGCCCAGACUGCAACGGGAGGCAGCAGUGGGGAAUAUUGCAAAAUGGGAGGAAGCCUGAUGCAGCAACGCCGCGUGCGGGAUGACGGCCUUCGGGUUGUAAACCGCUUUCGCCUGUGACGAAGCGUGAGUGACGGUAAUGGGUAAAGAAGCACCGGCUAACUACGUG
rnacentral:rRNA from 1 species